AGCAGCCGCGGUAAUUCCAGCUCCAAUAGCGUAUAUUAAAGUUGUUGCAGUUAAAAAGCUCGUAGUUGAAUUUCGGGAUCAAGGAAUCGGUCAUGCCUCGGUAUGUACUGGUUUUAUUGGUUCUCACCUUCUAAAGAACCAUGAUGUCAUUCAUUUGAUGUUAUGGGAAAUUAGGACUGUUACCUUGAAAAAUUAGAGUGUUUAAAGCAGGCUUACGCUUGAAUACAUUAGCAUGGAAUAAUGAAAUAGGACAUCAGAUUCUAUUUUGUUGGUUUCUAGGAUCGAUGUAAUGAUUAAUAGGGAUAGUUGGGGGCAUUAGUAUUCAAUUGUCAGAGGUGAAAUUCUUGGAUUUAUUGAAGACUAACUACUGCGAAAGCAUUUGCCAAGGAUGUUUUCAUUAAUCAAGAACGAAAGUUAGGGGAUCGAAGACGAUCAGAUACCGUCGUAGUCUUAACCAUAAACCUAUGCCGACUAGGGAUCGGAUGAUGUUUAUUUUUAGUGACUCAUUCC
rnacentral:misc_RNA from 1 species